GACGAACGCUGGCGGCGUGCUUAACACAUGCAAGUCGAGCGAGGAACUUCGGUUCCUAGCGGCGGACGGGUGAGUAACACGUGGGCAACCUGCCUCACAAUGGGGGAUAGCCUUCCGAAAGGAAGAUUAAUACCCCAUAACACAAAGGAAACGCAUGUUUCUUUUGCCAAAGAAUUUCGUUGUGAGAUGGGCCCGCGGCGCAUUAGCUUGUUGGUGAGGUAACGGCUCACCAAGGCUUCGAUGCGUAGCCGACCUGAGAGGGUGAUCGGCCACAUAGGAACUGAGACACGGUCCAGACUCCUACGGGAGGCAGCAGUGGGGAAUAUUGCACAAUGGAGGAAACUCUGAUGUAGCAACGCCGCGUGAGUGAUGAAGGUCUUCGGAUUGUAAAGCUCUGUCUUCUGGGACGAUAAUGACGGUACCAGAGGAGGAAGCCACGGCUAACUACGUGCCAGCAGCCGCAGUAAGAC
rnacentral:rRNA from 1 species